UCUGUUCUCGGAAGCUAAGCAGGGACGGGCUUGAUUAGUACCUGGAUGGGAGACCGCCUGGGAAUACCAGGUGUUGUAGGCU
rnacentral:rRNA from 1 species